rnacentral:rRNA from 1 species
AGUGAACGCUGGCGGCAGGCCUAAUACAUGCAAGUCGAACGGCAGCACAGUAAGAGCUUGCCUUUACGGGUGGCGAGUGGCGGACGGGUGAGGAAUACAUCGGAAUCUACUUUUUCGUGGGGGAUAACGUAGGGAAACUUACGCUAAUACCGCAUAUGACCUACGGCAUAAUGCAGUAGUUCUUCGCACUUUGCCUGUCUGUUUUAGACGAUGUCGGAUUAGCUAGUUGGCGUGGUAAAGGCACACCAAGGCAACGAUCCGUAGCUGGUCUGAGAGGAUGAUCAGCCACACUGGAACUGAGACACGGUCCAGACUCCUACGGGAGGCAGCAGUGGGGAAUAUUCGGCAAUGGGCGCAAGCCUGAUGCAGCCAUACCGCGUGGGUGAAGAAGGCCUUCGGGUUGUAAAACCCUUUUGUUGGGGAAGAAAAACUGCGUAUGAAACUACGGAUGUUCUGACGGUACCCAAAGAGAAAGCACCGGCUAACUACGUG